UCUGUGCAAGAAAUUUUGAGUGGCAAACAUAUAGGAUUCAUUCCCGAGAAUAAUUUGCAUAAGUUCGCGCAAGAAAAUUUAAUACUGAAUUUGUCCUCUUCUUAGGCUAAUUUGACUGGACUAUAUCGUGUCAUCCUGCUCUUCGGCCGUGAACCUGCAGAAGAACGACUCACUUGUUUUAUUUCUCUACCACUUUGUUACAUCGUCCUUCUGUAUGUCCACGAGCUUUUGUAACAACAAAAAACAAACACGUGGCCGAUCAGUUCGUUCUGUAUCUGUGGACCAUGUUUUGAUAUGUACGCAACGAUGCUUUUGCCCAUCCAAAUUGAUGUGCAACGCCGAUACGCAACGGAUUCGAACGCUCAAUUGUAGACUUUUUUUUGCCGUCACAUCAAAGAAAUGAUACGCAUGUAUGCAGCGGUGAUUCGCAACAAUGAUACACAACGGGUUCGAUGAUAUGAUAGGUUACUAUUAGAAAUAUACAUAUUUAGGAUUAAGGUAUAAAAAAUGGAGGUAUGAAGGGACAAAAGACAGGAUCACAGAGACAGGUAUGACAAUGAGAAAUAUGUGGAGCAUUGAGAAAAGAAUUGGUUUGAAAGGAAGGAUUUGACUAGUUUGCGUGAUUGAAAACGCAAUUGGUUUCAAGAGAGGGAUUUGACUAGUUAACGUAAUUAAAAACGAAACGAAACGACUGUCAACGAGUAGUGUACCAUUGCGUGCUACCUGUUCCAUUGCUGAGUUUUAGAUUUUUGAACACGUAAUGGUCUAAACUAUCGAGAUAAUCGAUUAUCUCGCGAAGCGCCGAAAUUUGCCGAAGUUGACCGAUGUGCAGCCGACGGCUCGAGGUCGUUAGAUAAACAGAUGCGUUGCAUCUUAAGUAAUGUUUACGUCUAAGUAUGUAACUAGACGUUGAGUUACAUUGUAUUCGAGGAGCUAAGGAAAGAGAAAAAAGAGUAAAUGCGGGGUAAAGGACAGAGAAAUACGAGGAGAAAAUCAGGAAAAUGCAACGAGGUGAGAUUAGCGAAAAAAUACCUGAGAGAAAAGUAUUUAAAAGAGGAAGAAUAGAGUUUCGGUAAAGAAAGAUUAGAGUAUAUACAAAAAAUACCAUAGUAAAACAAUGAUGGAAAAUAUAUGCAAUAAAAAAGUGCAGGUUAGUAUCAUAUUGAAAACAACACAUUAUUAUAAUCAAAGAUAAAGGCAAUUUAAUAAAAUAUAAAGCUCAAGAUAUAAUAGUAGGUAUGAAGAUAUAUAGUUUUAUAGGUUACUAGAGUAUUUGUAGCAAGGACAAGCGAAAGUAGCCAAAAGCUAAUUAUUAGAGCAAGAUGAGGCAAUCCAGAAAGCAAUAAUAUACAGCUUAGAGGAGCUCAUUAAUUAUUAAUACAGCUAAUUGACUAACCUGUACGAAUUUAAAUUAUUAUAUUCGUCCUCAAUAUAUCUUGUUUGUUUGUUUCAUAUGUACGUUUUUCUCCCUUUAGGCGAAGUUUUUGUAAUCAGUGUCAAGAACUCUUUCGAUAAAACGCUUUGAUUCUAGUAGACUACAAUUUUUCAAUAAUUCUAUUUUCAUUGCAACGGCUUCUUUUACAGUUAUGUUGUAAUAUGUGUUCUAUCUGACGGAACAAAAACGUGAGGAUUUUCGUGGAUAAUUUAUGACAUACGAAGACAAAAGACUAUUUUUGAAUGAGGGCAGCAAAACAUCAAUAAUUUGCAUGAUCUCCAUCUAACACAAGUAACAUAUCGACGUAUUCAUGAAAUUAUGGCAUUUUGAACGUUUCCUCAUUUUAAGCAGAUAACUGAGGAAAAGAAAUGAAGCAGUGCUUUCCAGACUGGUAAUUGCUACCUUCAGCAUUAACAGCUUGCGAUUACACUUGGCGGUACAACUCGACUUCUAGACGAUGAGCUAAUGAGUUAAG